CCCGCCUUCAAGUGGGUGACGUCAGCACAACAGGAAGUAGCUUAUCUCCUAACUGAAAGCAGAAGAUAGCUAACAACACAAUUAGCAUUCUUUUUUUCCACCACUUCAGCCAAUUUGUGCAGCAGUUGUGGGGUGGCCAGAUAAUGCAGCACCAGAGAGAGAAAAAUGACUCUGAUUAGUCCCUGCUAAGCUAACAACAGCUAACGCUAAUGGUCACUGCCAAGGCAACAACAGCUAACGCUAACGGCUAACGGUAGGAAAGCUAGCAGGCCCACGAGCUGUUACGGCCUCUGUCGUUGCCUGGAUGAUGUCGGGACUGACAGGCCGGGUUACAAUUCAAGUGUAAUUUCCCUGAACAUGGAAGAGCCAAUGUCUCACAGAUGAAAGGUCUGGUUACAGCAGCUGAGCUUUGAGAGGAACAAGUGCACUAAUGACAGAAAGGAUAUCAACCUUAGAUGGUUCAACGCUUACACACUGUCCUCUCCUAUUUUAAUGUGUGAAGAGGCGAGAGAAUGCGGCACCAAGGGGAGGCCAGAGGUGAGAGAGGGUAUGACAGUCACACUCACUCUGCUUCUUUAGGAUCUGGAGAGAAC
rnacentral:lncRNA from 1 species